UACGAAGGGGGCUAGCGUUGUUCGGAUUUACUGGGCGUAAAGCGCACGUAGGCGGAUCGAUCAGUCAGGGGUGAAAUCCCAGAGCUCAACUCUGGAACUGCCUUUGAUACUGUCGAUCUGGAGUAUGGAAGAGGUGAGUGGAAUUCCGAGUGUAGAGGUGAAAUUCGUAGAUAUUCGGAGGAACACCAGUGGCGAAGGCGGCUCUCUGGACCGAGACUGGCGCUGAGGCGCGAAAGCGUGGGGAGCAAACAGG
rnacentral:rRNA from 1 species